AUUUAAAUAGAUUAUUAAUUAGAUAUUAAUUAAAAAAAAUGCUGCAUAUAGAUAAUACCGACAGAAAUUUUGCAUUCGCUUAUUUUGAAUGCGAGUGAAAAUUAAUCGUGAGAGUUAAAAAAAAAAAAAAAAAAGAAAGAGAGUUAGAGCGAAAAUUUGGCGAGAAGCGGGAAAGGGUAAUUACUAAUGAUCGCGGAGGAUCGUUAUUAACCUUUCUGGUGGCGAGAGGCAUCAGGACGUAGCAGGACCAUUGUCCAUUCCGCUAGGUUCAUUACGGUGUUCCAGUAGGGAAUGAGGCGAUGGUCGGCUGGAUGAUGUAAAAAAGGGUAAAAGAGAAAUAAGAAAAGUGUCGGGGGUCAGAGGAGACCGAACGGCUACCGUGAAUGGCGCAGCCUGACCCAAGAGCUGCCGGGCAUCAAAAGGGCCUCAAAAGGACCGCUUCGAACCUCGGCCUGUCCGAAGCUCAUUUGUUUUCACCGGCGCAUGGAAAGAUCGAUCGACCGAUGUCUUAACCCUACACUCUCCACGGAAUCAUCCGCUUUCGAUAAGAAAAAUUCUGAGGCAUUAAUUAGAUCGGCCGGUAAUAGAGUCAUGAUGGAAAACUGAUUGCCUGCGUCGAAGUUACAGCAAUUUACUUACCUAUCAACUAUCUUCUCCGAGUUUCCUUCCAUUUUCUUCUUGGUAGUAUUUAACGUAGUUUUAUACAAUUCAUUUUUCUCAAAAGUUCAUUGUUUUUUUGUUUGUAAGUUUAUAUCUAAUAUUUAUUUUUAUAAAGUUUAUUUUAUUAUGAAAUUAUCUAAUAUUACUCUUUUGAUUUUUUUUUCCUUAUGAUUCUUUUUAGGUCACGUUAAACUAGAUUAAAUUAUUUCUUAAAUAACAUUUUCAAUAUAAUAUCCAUAAUCGUGUAAGUCUCUGAUAUUUAUUAUUAUAAAAUGGUGAAAAACACGAUGAAAUCCAGAAUUGUUAUGCAUACUGGUGACAGGAAAUUGAUGACCACUAUAUAUAGAGUAGAAAAUUCCCAUGAGGUUUUUUGUAAUCGUCUUUCUUCUUCUUGAUAUCGAUUCGAUGGAUGAUCGUUAAUUUGAAUGGACGAAAUGAUCGGUAACAUUAGACUGGAUAAUUCGAUGAGCAAAACAAAAAGAUAUAAAUUUAUAUUCUCCAUCGAA